AACGAACGCUGGCGGCAGGCUUAACACAUGCAAGUCGAGCGCCCCGCAAGGGGAGCGGCAGACGGGUGAGUAACGUGUGGGAAUCUACCCAUCUCUACGGAAUAACGCAUGGAAACGUGUGCUAAUACCGUAUACGUCCUUCGGGAGAAAGAUUUAUCGGAGACGGAUGAGCCCGCGUUGGAUUAGCUAGUUGGUGGGGUAAAGGCCUACCAAGGCGACGAUCCAUAGCUGGUCUGAGAGGAUGAUCAGCCACACUGGGACUGAGACACGGCCCAGACUCCUACGGGAGGCAGCAGUGGGGAAUAUUGGACAAUGGGCGCAAGCCUGAUCCAGCCAUGCCGCGUGAGUGAUGAAGGCCCUAGGGUUGUAAAGUUCUUUCACCGGUGAAGAUAAUGACGGUAACCGGAGAAGAAGCCCCGGCUAACUUCGUGCCAGCCGCCGCCGUAAUAC
rnacentral:rRNA from 1 species